UGGCCUAGUAGUUUCAGAGAAGAAGAUUUUUAAAUGUUAGCAAACUUGAUGAACAAAUUGUGUAAAAUUGUCUUUAAAGGGCAAUAACUCCUUAAGGGGUCAAUUGACAAUUAUGGUCAUAUUAACUUUUUUGUAGAUCUUACUUUGCUGAACAUUAUUGCUGCUUACAGUUUAUAUAUAUCUAUAAUAAUAUUCAAAAUAAUAACAAAAAACUGCAAAAUUUUGUUAAAACUACAAAUUCGGUGCCAGCAACCCAACAAUGGGUUGUUUGAUUCGUCUGAAAAUUUCAGAGCUGAUAGAUCUUGACCAACUGAACAAUUUUACCCCAUGUCAGAUUUGCUCUAAAAGCUUUAGUUUUUGAGAUAUAAGCCAAAAACUGCAUUUGACCCCUAUGUUCUAUUUUUAGCCAUGGCGGCCAUGUUUGUCGAUGGAUCAAAACUUCGGAUACAACUUAUAAACUAGAUACCCUAAGGAACAUUUAGUUAAAGUUUGAAGGUAUUUGGCCCAGUAGUUUCAGAGGAGAAGAUUUUUGAAAUAGUUUACGACGACGGACGACGACGGACGCCAAGUGAUGGCAUAAGCUCACAUGGGGCCCUUCGGGCCCCGGUGAGCUAAAAAAGGAUACGAUUUAUUACCAAAUUAGGUAGAUAUUUUGUGGUAUUUCAACAUUUUAUAUUUUGCAAAUUUAUUUGAAAUAAAGAACUCAUUUUAAUUUUUUUUCAUUUUUUCUUCAGUUGUUAAAUAUCCUAUUACAUUUUUAGUUCAGUUUAGCUUAAAUUUUUGUUUUUAUUUUGUUUCCUUAAAAAUAUUAUCCCGAUGAAAUAAAGGGUGCUAACUGUGAUUCCUUUAUAUUUCAUGGUAAUUCAACAACAUUACAAAUUAAGGCUUCUUUAAACCAGUUUACGUGUAAUCACUGAACCGUUCAAAUAUAAACAUAACCUUAUACAUGUAUUUUAAUUCAUAUCACAAGGAUUUUUCAUAUGGAUUAAAGGGUGUAAUACUAAACGGGAAAACUUCUUUUUAAUUUCCCUGUUUUUCUUCGGUAUAACCCUACACUCACAGGAAAAGAAUUCGGAAGGAAUCCUUGCUGUAAAAACUAGCGUUUUUAUUCAAAUAUUGUUUCCAAGACAAACCAUGCGAUGUACCAGAAGAUACUUCAACAGAAUGUGAAACAUCUCAAAGAUUACAGAAUCAGCCUAACAAUCAAACUAUUGAAGUUAAUUUUGAUGGAGUGACAAUUCAUGUUUCCUAAGAAUAUGUGGACGACCCUACGUUUGAAAUGUUUGAAGGCAUUGUUCAGUAUGACAUGGAAUCUAGUAUUCGAAUUAAAGGAAGAAAUAUAUUAAAUGUGGCACGCUAUCACGAUUAUCAUAUAAAUAUUGGAUUGGACGGAACGUGUCUCAUAUCGGAUAUAAGUAUGGAACUCAUAAAUUGCAUACCACCAAAAUCAGUACCUCGGACAAAUAAAACUGAUGUUACAACAGUUCAUGUUAUUGUGUGUCUAAAAGGCGAAGGGACGUAAGGGUUGAAGAUGGAGAUGAAUAUACUGAGCCUGAUGAGUCAAUAUAUGAUGAAAUAAAUGCAGAUGAGGAAAACAAUACACGUGAAAACAGUUAUCUUUACGUAUAUGACGGAUUCGAUGAACUUGGACAACGAUCACCAACACAUCCAUAUAAUCAGCUUCAAAUAACAAGGGAUGAAAAUCAAAAACCGAUCAUGAUCAAUAGUGAAAUACACACAGAUGACAAAUUGCAAAGAAAUAAACUUAGAAAUGAGUAUCUAAGCUUGUCUAGCGGAUACGAAAAACCAAUAUGGCGAAACGAUUCACAUUAUCAAUUUGAUCAGGAAAGUGCGGACAAAAAAAAUGAAAUAACAAAUCUUGAUAACCAUUUAAGGGAUUCAUCUUUCCAGUGAUUAGAUAAAUAUAAAGAAGUAAGAGGAAUCAAUUUGAAUGCCAGAUAAAUCAGUUGUUUACAUUAUGUCUGUACAUGUACAUAUCAUUCCAUGUAAACUUUUCUAUUCUGUAUAUCUAAAUACUAUUGUGUCUUACCAAAAUCAAUAUGCACACGAAUUUGAAUUUUAUAAAACCUAUAUUACUUAAAUGAUCAGGUAUUAAUAAAGAAUUAUAGAGUGCACACUGGUUAAUAAUGUUUCAUGUGUUGUAAUGGAUGUGCUUUCAAACCUCUGGGUUUCUUACUUAAAAGAUGCAGGAUAUUCCAUACACAUGAAAUAUGUGUAAAGCUCACACAUUUAUUAUCUUACGGCUUACUUUAUCUCAAUUAUUAUUAUUCAAUCGCAUCAUAGAUUCAAUGCAGCAUUUUUAAUUUUUUGAAAUAAUCACUUCCAUCUUCUUUUUUUACUGUUAAAGCCUUAUGAAAAACCAUGUAUUGUAAGCCCCUCCAGACAGCAGCAUACAAUCUUAAUUUCUCAUACGAGAACUUUUUAUUAAAUGCUGUAAUCCUUCCCUUUUCCUUUCCCAGAGUUUACAAUAAGUCAUAAUUUUUUACACAUUAUUGUCAUUAAUAAAUUUGUUUACCGAUAUCCUUUGGUAUCUGGACGAUUUGACAAACUCAUAUUUGAACGGAAAUCUUGCUUUAUAAAACGUAUCUCAUCAGCAGCUUAUUCGUUGGUUAUUGCAAAAGAUACAGGAGUUUUAUUCUUUGCAAAAUGUAUUUCUCCACACUCUCUGGCCCAUAUGAAGCAAGAUAUGAUAUGCA